GGCGGGGCGGGGGCACGGGGGGCCUACGGGAGGCAGCAGUAGGGAAUCUUCCACAAUGGACGAAAGUCUGAUGGAGCAACGCCGCGUGAUGUGAAGAAGGUUUUCGGAUCGUAAAAGCUACUGUUGUAUAGGAAGAACAGAUUGAGUGUAAAAGGUCAUUGAUAUUGACGUAUCCAACCAGAAAGCCACG
rnacentral:rRNA from 1 species